GACGAACGCUGGCGGCGUGCUUAACACAUGCAAGUCGAACGGAAAGGCCCUGCUUUUGUGGGGUGCUCGAGUGGCGAACGGUUGAGUAACACGUGAGUAACCUGCCCUUGACUUUGGGAUAACUUCAGGAAACUGGGGCUAAUACCGGAUAGGAGCUCCUGCCGCAUGGUGGGGGUUGGAAAGUUUCGGCGGUUGGGGAUGGACUCGCGGCUUAUCAGCUUGUUGGUGGGGUAGUGGCUUACCAAGGCUUUGACGGGUAGCCUGCCUGAGAGGGUGACCGGCCACAUUGGGACUGAGAUACGGCCCAGACUCCUACGGGAGGCAGCAUUGGGGAAUAUUGCACAAUGGGCGGAAGCUUGAUGCAUCAACGCCGCGUGCGGGAUGACGGCCUUCGGGUUGUAAACCGCUUCCCCCUGUGACGAAGCGUGAGUGACGGUAAUGGGUAAAGAACCACCGGCUAACUACGUGCCAGCCACCGCGGUGAUACCUAUGGUGCGACUGUUGUCUGGAUUCAUUGGGCGUAAAGGGCUCGUAUGUGGUUGAUUGCCUCGGACCCGUAAUCCUGUGGCUUAAUCCUGACCGUGCUUUCGAUACGGGUUGACUUGAGGAAGGUAGGGGAGAAUGGAAUUCCUGGUGGAGCGGUGGAAUGCGCAGAUAUCAGGAGGAACACCAGUGGCGAAGGCGGUUCUCUGGGCCUUUCCUGACGCUGAGGAGCGAAAGCGUGGGGAGCGAACAGGCUUAGAUACCCUGGUAGUCCACGCUGUAAACGGUGGGUACUAGGUGUGGGGUCCAUUCCACGGGUUCCGUGCCGUAGCUAACGCUUUAAGUACCCCGCCUGGGGAGUACGGGCCGCAAGGCUAAAACUCAAAGGAAUUGACGGGGCCCCGCACAAGCGGCGGAGCAUGCGGAUUAAUUCGAUGCAACGCGUAGAACCUUACCUGGGUUUGACAUGGAUCGGGAGUGCUCAGAGAUGGGUGUGCCUCUUUUGGGGUCGGUUCACAGGUGGUGCAUGGCUGUCGUCAGCUCGUGUCGUGAGAUGUUGGGUUAAGUCCCGCAACGAGCGCAACCCUUGUUCACUGUUGCCAGCACGUUAUGGUGGGGACUCAGUGGAGACCGCCGGGGUCAACUCGGAGGAAGGUGGGGAUGACGUCAAGUCAUCAUGCCCCUUAUGUCCAGGGCUUCACGCAUGCUACAAUGGCUGGUACAGAGAGUGGCGAGCCUGUGAGGGUGAGCGAAUCUCGGAAAGCCGGUCUCAGUUCGGAUUGGGGUCUGCAACUCGACCUCAUGAAGUCGGAGUCGCUAGUAAUCGCAGAUCAGCAACACUGCGGUGAAUACGUUCCCGGG
rnacentral:rRNA from 1 species